rnacentral:rRNA from 1 species
GACGAACGCUGGCGGCGUGCCUAAUACAUGCAAGUAGAACGCACAGUUUAUACCGUAGCUUGCUACACCAUAGACUGUGAGUUGCGAACGGGUGAGUAACGCGUAGGUAACCUGCCUGGUAGCGGGGGAUAACUAUUGGAAACGAUAGCUAAUACCGCAUAAUAUUAAUUAUUGCAUGAUAAUUAAUUGAAAGGUGCAAUUGCACCACUACCAGAUGGACCUGCGUUGUAUUAGCUAGUAGGUGAGGUAACGGCUCACCUAAGCGACGAUACAUAGCCGACCUGGGAGGGUGAUCGGCCACACUGGGACUGAGACAAGGCCCAGACUCCUACGGGAGGCAGCAGUAGGGAAUCUUCGGCAAUGGACGAAAGUCUGACCGAGCAAAGCCGCGUGAGUGAAGAAGGUUUUCGGAUCGUAAAGCUCUGUUGUAAGAGAAGAACGGGUGUGAGAGUGGAAAGUUCACACUGUGACGGUAUCUUACCAGAAAGGGACGGCUAACUACGUG